rnacentral:rRNA from 1 species
UGGCUCAGGACGAACGCUGGCGGCACGCUUAACACAUGCAAGUCGAACGGAGAAAAUGGAUUUAUUCGUUUCUUAGUGGCGGACGGGUGAGUAACACGUGAGCAACCUACCUUUAAGAGGGGGGAUAGGCUUCUGGAAACGGAUGGUAAUACCCUAUGACAUAUAUUUGAGGCAUCUCAGAUAUAUCAAAGAUUUAUCACUUAAAGAUGGGCCCGCGUCUGGAUUAGGUAGUUGGUGAGGUAACGGCCCACCAAGCCGACGAUCAGUAGCCGGACUGAGAGGUUGAACGGCCACAUUGGGACUGAGACACGGCCCAGACUCCUACGGGAGGCAGCAGUGGGGAAUAUUGCACAAUGGGGGGAACCCUGAUGCAGCGAUGCCGCGUGGAGGAAGAAGGUUUUCGGAUUGUAAACUCCUUUUGUAUGGGAAGAUAAUGACUGUACCAUAUGAAUAAGCUCCGGCUAACUACGUGCCAGCAGCUGC